rnacentral:rRNA from 1 species
GAUGAACGCUGGCGGCGUGCCUAAUACAUGCAAGUCGAGCGAACAGACGAGGAGCUUGCUCCUCUGACGUUAGCGGCGGACGGGUGAGUAACACGUGGAUAACCUACCUAUAAGACUGGGAUAACUUCGGGAAACCGGAGCUAAUACCGGAUAAUAUAUUGAACCGCAUGGUUCAAUAGUGAAAGACGGUUUUGCUGUCACUUAUAGAUGGAUCCGCGCCGCAUUAGCUAGUUGGUAAGGUAACGGCUUACCAAGGCAACGAUGCGUAGCCGACCUGAGAGGGUGAUCGGCCACACUGGAACUGAGACACGGUCCAGACUCCUACGGGAGGCAGCAGUAGGGAAUCUUCCGCAAUGGGCGAAAGCCUGACGGAGCAACGCCGCGUGAGUGAUGAAGGGCUUCGGAUCGUAAAACGCUGUUAUUAGGGAAGAACAAAUGUGUAAGUAACGAUGCACGUCUUGACGGUACCUAAGCAGAAAGCCACGGCUAACUACGU